AAAUUGAAGAGUUUGAUCAUGGCUCAGAUUGAACGCUGGCGGCAGGCCUAACACAUGCAAGUCGAGCGGUAGCACAGAGAGCUUGCUCUCGGGUGACGAGCGGCGGACGGGUGAGUAAUGUCUGGGAAACUGCCUGAUGGAGGGGGAUAACUACUGGAAACGGUAGCUAAUACCGCAUAACGUCGCAAGACCAAAGUGGGGGACCUUCGGGCCUCAUGCCAUCAGAUGUGCCCAGAUGGGAUUAGCUAGUAGGUGGGGUAACGGCUCACCUAGGCGACGAUCCCUAGCUGGUCUGAGAGGAUGACCAGCCACACUGGAACUGAGACACGGUCCAGACUCCUACGGGAGGCAGCAGUGGGGAAUAUUGCACAAUGGGCGCAAGCCUGAUGCAGCCAUGCCGCGUGUGUGAAGAAGGCCUUCGGGUUGUAAAGCACUUUCAGCGGGGAGGAAGGCGUUAAGGUUAAUAACCUUGGCGAUUGACGUUACCCGCAGAAGAAGCACCGGCUAACUCCGUGCCAGCAGCCGCGGUAAUACGGAGGGUGCAAGCGUUAAUCGGAAUUACUGGGCGUAAAGCGCACGCAGGCGGUCUGUCAAGUCGGAUGUGAAAUCCCCGGGCUCAACCUGGGAACUGCAUUCGAAACUGGCAGGCUAGAGUCUUGUAGAGGGGGGUAGAAUUCCAGGUGUAGCGGUGAAAUGCGUAGAGAUCUGGAGGAAUACCGGUGGCGAAGGCGGCCCCCUGGACAAAGACUGACGCUCAGGUGCGAAAGCGUGGGGAGCAAACAGGAUUAGAUACCCUGGUAGUCCACGCCGUAAACGAUGUCGAUUUGGAGGUUGUGCCCUUGAGGCGUGGCUUCCGGAGCUAACGCGUUAAAUCGACCGCCUGGGGAGUACGGCCGCAAGGUUAAAACUCAAAUGAAUUGACGGGGGCCCGCACAAGCGGUGGAGCAUGUGGUUUAAUUCGAUGCAACGCGAAGAACCUUACCUGGUCUUGACAUCCACAGAACUUUCCAGAGAUGGAUUGGUGCCUUCGGGAACUGUGAGACAGGUGCUGCAUGGCUGUCGUCAGCUCGUGUUGUGAAAUGUUGGGUUAAGUCCCGCAACGAGCGCAACCCUUAUCCUUUGUUGCCAGCGGUUCGGCCGGGAACUCAAAGGAGACUGCCAGUGAUAAACUGGAGGAAGGUGGGGAUGACGUCAAGUCAUCAUGGCCCUUACGACCGGGCUACACACGUGCUACAAUGGCAUAUACAAAGAGAAGCGACCUCGCGAGAGCAAGCGGACCUCAUAAAGUAUGUCGUAGUCCGGAUUGAGUCUGCAACUCGACUCCAUGAAGUCGGAAUCGCUAGUAAUCGUAGAUCAGAAUGCUACGGUGAAUACGUUCCCGGGCCUUGUACACACCGCCCGUCACACCAUGGGAGUGGGUUGCAAAAGAAGUAGGUAGCUUAACCUUCGGGAGGGCGCUUACCACUUUGUGAUUCAUGACUGGGGUGAAGUCGUAACAAGGUAACCGUAGGGGAACCUGCGGUUGGAUCACCUCCUUACCUUAAAGAA
rnacentral:rRNA from 1 species